rnacentral:misc_RNA from 1 species
UAACAAAAUAUAUUAAGAGAUCGGGAGAGAGUUUUUUCCUGAAUUCUCAACUAAAAUUCAAAUAGAAUAUUUCAGAUUGGAAGAGAGUCCUUUCCCUUUUAAUCCUAAUGCUUUAUUAUGAAAUUCUCUAUAUGUUCUAAACAAUGGGUUUGCGAGAGAGUCCUUCCAAAGUAUCUCGAAUAUUAUGCUGAGGCUUGAUGGAGAGUCCUCCUUAAGGCACUCAUAUUUAUAAAGUUAAAUCCCUUUUGAAAAUACCACAACUUCAGUACUCAUGUUAACAAAAUACCCAUUGCACAACACUUAUUCACUGAAGGGUCAUCUCAUG